GUUGGUGGAGCGCCGGGGCUGCUAAUGCUCCCUCCCCUCUUCCUCUUUGGCUCCCUCUCUCUCUUUUUCCAGACACCUUAAGGAAUUCAACAACCCCUCCCCUGCACACAGGCUUCUUCCAGGUGUGAAAUUCCAUGAAGGGCAGAGGGAAGGCAGGCAUGUGGGAGUUUUCUGUCCCUUGAGUAGGAGAAACUUUCAGCUUAUGGCUGGUCUAGCAGAGCCAGGUGCCAGGCCUGGCGGGAGCAUCCUUGUCUCUUAACUGACAGUGCCUCCACCUAGCCUUGCAGCUCCACUCGACAAAUACUAAAUAACAGGCUCUGGCAUCUCCUGAAGCUCUGCACUCAUUAACACACUGGGAGGUAAGUGCAGGCAACCAGGGAGAAUUUACUCUGCAGCAACAGGCUUCUCAUAUAGAAGCCAAACACACCCCAGCAGGUACAGCUACCCCUCCUGUGGGUUAUCCUGGGUCCAUUCCAUCAUCAGAGGUCUGAGAAUACCCAAGUGUUCUUUUAUAUUCUGGCAGAAGGGACAAUGAAUUGUGACUCAGAAAUUAAUCAGAUGAGACCUGAUGACUGAAGUACAUCACAGAGCUAGGAAGAGAGAUUACUAAGCAACACGGACAUCUCAGUUGACAACCUGAGCAAUAGCUCUGACCUGGAGGCAU
rnacentral:lncRNA from 1 species